rnacentral:rRNA from 1 species
UACGGGGGGAGCAAGCGUUGUUCGGAUUUACUGGGCGUAGAGGGCGCGUAGGCGGCCACCGCAAGUCGGUUGUGAAAUCUCCGGGCUUAACCCGGAAAGGUCAACCGAUACUGCGGGGCUAGAGUGCAGAAGGGGCAACUGGAAUUCUCGGUGUAGCGGUGAAAUGCGUAGAUAUCGAGAGGAACACCUGCGGCGAAGGCGGGUUGCUGGGCUGACACUGACGCUGAUGCGCGAAAGCUAGGGGAGCGAACGGG